rnacentral:rRNA from 1 species
UACGAAGGGGGCUAGCGUUGCUCGGAAUCACUGGGCGUAAAGGGUGCGUAGGCGGGUCUUAAGUCAGGGGUGAAAUCCUGGAGCUCAACUCCAGAACUGCCUUUGAUACUGGCGAUCUUGAGUCCGGGAGAGGUGAGUGGAACUGCGAGUGUAGAGGUGAAAUUCGUAGAUAUUCGCAAGAACACCAGUGGCGAAGGCGGCUCACUGGCCCGGUACUGACGCUGAGGUGCGAAAGCGUGGGGAGCAAACAGG